GACGCAGCAACGCCGCGUGGGUGAAGAAGGCCUUCGGGUCGUAAAGCCCUUCGGACGGGACGAACGCUUCGCGGCGACAACCCGCGAAGUCUGACGGUACCGUAGGAAGAAGCACCGGCUAACUCCGUGCCAGCAGCCGCGGUAAUACGGAGGGUGCGAGCGUUGUUCGGAAUUACUGGGCGUAAAGCGCGUGUAGGCGGCCCUGUAAGUCAGAUGUGAAAGCCCUCGGCUUAACCGGGGAAGUGCAUCUGAAACUGCUUGGCUUGAGUACCGGAGAGGGAGGCGGAAUUCCCAGUGUAGAGGUGAAAUUCGUAGAUAUUGGGAGGAACACCGGUGGCGAAAGCGGCCUCCUGGACGGAUACUGACGCUGAGACGCGAAAGCGUGGGGAGCAAACAGGAUUAGAUACCCCGGUAGUCCUAGCCGUAAACGAUGGACACUAGGUGUUGGUGGUAUCAACCCCACCAGUGCCGAAGCUAACGCAUUAAGUGUCCCGCCUGGGGAGUACGGCCGCAAGGCUA
rnacentral:rRNA from 1 species